rnacentral:tRNA from 1 species
GCCGGGAUGGCGGAAUUGGCAGACGCGCUGGAUUCAGGUUCCAGUGGAUGCAAAUCUGUGCGGGUUCAAAUCCCGCUCCCGGCA